AUUGAACGCUGGCGGCAGGCCUAACACAUGCAAGUCGAGCGGCAGCGGGAAAGUAGCUUGCUACUUUUGCCGGCGAGCGGCGGACGGGUGAGUAAUGCCUGGGGAUCUGCCCAGUCGAGGGGGAUAACUACUGGAAACGGUAGCUAAUACCGCAUACGCCCUACGGGGGAAAGCAGGGACCCUUCGGGCCUUGCGCGAUUGGAUGAACCCAGGUGGGAUUAGCUAGUUGGUGAGGUAACGGCUCACCAAGGCGACGAUCCCUAGCUGGUCUGAGAGGAUGAUCAGCCACACUGGAACUGAGACACGGUCUAGACUCCUACGGGAGGCAGCAGUGGGGAAUAUUGCACAAUGGGGGAAACCCUGAUGCAGCCAUGCCGCGUGUGUGAAGAAGGCCUUCGGGUUGUAAAGCACUUUCAGCGAGGAGGAAAGGUCAGUAGCUACUAUCUGCUGGCUGUGACGUUACUCGCAGAAGAAGCACCGGCUAACUCCGUGCCAGCCGCCGCGGUAAAAC
rnacentral:rRNA from 1 species